AAGUUUCCUUAACCCUCUCUGUGUGUGUGACUGUGUGUGCAUGUAUGCAUAUGUAUAUGUUUACGUAUGAGGAACCAUAUUCCUUUACCUAGGUAUUUAUAUUUCUACUUGCAAUUAUCCAAAUAGAUCAUACUCUAGUGAUGAGAAUGCAUUUGAGCUACUGAAAAUUAUUAGUGACAUAAAAUUUUACCUAUGAUCUGUUCACAGGAUCUUAACAGGAUCCAUAGUAACUUUUUUAUGAUUGCAAAAGCAUCAAAACAGUUUAGCAAUUCUGUCUACCUUGCUCCCUCAUGCAUACCACCUCAUUUUCAUCUUGAGCCAAUAUUAGUUUCUCUGCUUAAAAGGUGAGGUUUUUCAAUAUCACUCUACCUUUGGCAUGCUGGGACUCUGUUUCUGGGAAGGAAUGGUGGGAGGGGGAGAGAGAGAGAAAGAGACAGACAGAUUGAGAGACAGAGUUAGCAAAUUUCCUGGUGUAACUACUCCUGUAAGAGCUGAUUUCAAACUGCCAACAGUUUAAAAAUAAGCUCACAGAAUUCCUAAGUCUGUAACAGGCAGUAUCUCAAUGCAGAACAACCACUAAUGCACCCCAAGUUUUCAGAUUCAGACUCCUAUGUUUUAUUAUGCCACAGCUUUUUAUCUCUUUAUAUGGUCCUCUCUUUAGUUUAAUUUACUAUAAGCCUUAAAACUAGAUUUCAAUUCUGUCCUCUAGAUUUCUCCCUCUCAAUCCAUUGUCUAAGUGGCAAGCAGAGAGCUCUAGCAUGUAACUUUGAUUUGGUAUUACUCUUGAUGCAUUCAACUCUGUCAGAGGCUUCCUGCUGCCCUUAUGAAAAAAUUUAAACUCUUUAUACAAUUGAUUUGGUUCAAAUGCAAUGAACUUUGUUUAUAUAUCAAAUUGUAUCGAAUCUUGACUCUUUCAGAGUCCUCCAUUAUCCUAUAUCAUUUAAAUUAGACCCUCUGUUUCUUCCAGAUGUUCCUGUGGUAGGUGGAAUAAUAGCUCCCAAGGAUGUCUACGUCCUAGUCCCCCAAAAUAUGAAUAUGUUGCUUUACGUUGCAAAAGGGACUUUGCAGAUGUGAUUAUUGUGAGGAACCCUGAGAUAGGGAGAGUAUCCUGAAUUAUCUAGGUAGGUGUAGUCUAACAACAUGAACUGUUGCAAUUAGAGAAGCUGUCCUCGUGCUGUCAAAGAAACGUGAUUUGAAAGUACUCAAACCCCUGCUUUUGCUGUCAGAGGAGAAGACCAGAAGCCAACCAAUGCAGCAGCCUCUAGAGAAAAGAGACAGAGAAACCUGGAAAGGAGCAGAGAGAAAGCGACAGAGGAUCUGAAGCAGGCUCUGUGCUGACAGCAGUAAGCUCAAUGUGGGGCUUGAACUCAAGAACUGUGAGAUCGUGGCCUGAGCUGACAUCAGACGCUUAACGAAGUGAGCCACCCAGCCACACAUCAGCAACACCUGGAAAAACUUCUAAGAGCAGAAGGCUGAGUUCCAUCCCAAGAUCUGCUGGUUUGGGAGACCUAAGGUAUGUUGUGAAAAUUUGCAUUUCUGACAAGUUCCAAGAUGCUAUUGGUCUGAGAGUCCCACUUUGAGAAUUCUCAACAUCUGUUAUACAUUGGAUCACUUAAUAAGAAUUUAUUUGAAGAAAGCAUUUUCAAGCUAAAAAUAAGUUUCAAAUGUUGGAAGUACUUACAUAAUUAAAGUCUUUCUGGCAUAUCUAUUUUUUCUUUUUAUACCCUUUUCCCUGAGGUCCCUGGUACCUGCACCCCUCUGGCUGCCAAAGGCAUC